GACGAACGCUGGCGGCGUGCCUAAUACAUGCAAGUAGAACGCACAGUUUAUACCGUAGCUUGCUACACCAUAGACUGUGAGUUGCGAACGGGUGAGUAACGCGUAGGUAACCUGCCUGGUAGCGGGGGAUAACUAUUGGAAACGAUAGCUAAUACCGCAUAAUAUUAAUUAUUGCAUGAUAAUUAAUUGAAAGGUGCAAUUGCACCACUACCAGAUGGACCUGCGUUGUAUUAGCUAGUAGGUGAGGUAACGGCUCACCUAGGCGACGAUACAUAGCCGACCUGAGAGGGUGAUCGGCCACACUGGGAAUGAGACACGGCCCAGGCUCCUACGGGAGGCAGCAGUAGGGAAUCUUCGGCAAUGGACGAAAGUCUGACCGAGCAACGCCGCGUGAGUGAAGAAGGGUUUCGGAUCGUAAAGCUCUGUUGUAAGAGAAGAAAGGGUGUGAGAGUGGAAAGUUCACACUGUGACGGUAUCUUACCAGAAAGGGACGGCUAACUACGUG
rnacentral:rRNA from 1 species